rnacentral:lncRNA from 10 species
CCCUGCUGUAUUAUUUCAUAGUAUGCAUGGUACACUUGAUAGGCCAUAAAAGUUAACAUAUUUUGGCAAGGGUAUUAAUUUAUAAAUAGUUGAUUAAGUGUACUUCAUUAGCCAUGGAAGGAACUAAGCAUAUUUUUUGGUAGAAAAGGGUGUUAUGCAUUAUAUAUGUGCAUGCACACAUCCCUUCAUAUAGAUACACAGAGUACACCAUUUUCAUCAGUUGUAUCAAUAUUCAUAACAAAAUGCACAUGAAUUUCUCAGGUUGGAAGUCAUCCAUUUUUAGUGAAAAAUAACCAGUUUAACUUGAUAACUCUUUAAAUAUCUAGAAAACUUAAUACUUUACACAUUUGUUAUAUUUAAUUUUUCAUAUUCAACGAGUUUUAAGCAGUGUUCAUUUCAAACAAAAGGAUAUGGCACAAAUAACUUUUUAAGAUUCGUUUAGAUUAAAGGGCAAAGGCAAUGUUUAACUGUUAAUGCCAGCACAGGAAAACAUACCCCUCAAAGAUAAGCUAGCUUGGUGUAUAUAAACAUUUUAUAAUUAUUCUAUAGUUCUGGAAAAGAGUUAUAUGUUGGGCUUGGCAAUGAUGAUAGGACCAUGUCAACAUCAAGAUCAAGAAUAGGCUAGUUGAUCAUAAUAAACUUGAUAAAAUGAAAUUCUUUCUUAAUAGUCGACACUAACAGCCAUGAUUAUAUGUGCAAUAUCCACAUAACAUAGAAUGGGUCAUUUGGUUAAAAUAAACUUGCUUAUAUGAAAAUUCAUGGCUGCAAAAAUAAACAUCUGGACAGUAAUAUAUGCAGUUCUGACUCUCCCUAUGUUUUAAAUUUUGAAAGGUUUAUAAUUUAUAUUUUCAAAAUAGUUUCAGAAUGGGCUAACAACAUAGAUCACAUCACUCUAUGUAACCUGAUUAAAUUUCACGUUGGAAACUGACAGAGGCCUCUCUAUGAUCCUUCCUUACAGUAAUUGUCCUGCCGUUUUGCGGCUCCUGCUCCACCUGGCUCAACCGCAGCCGUCAUAAAUCGCAGACUACAAAGCUGCAUGAUUUGAGAGCCAGCGCCAAAAACGCAAGUUUCAAAAAUUGAACCACUCACAGUUCCUCCUCUUCAUUUUGAGACAAUAAAUUUUGUGCUCACAUUAUCUUGUUAUAUAAUUGCCCGUUAAUAAAAACUAGGUAGUGAGAGCCAAAUAAAUAAAUGGCAUUUCACAAAAUCAUCUACACACACACACUCUCUCUCAAACACACACACACACACACACACACACUCACAUUUUCUAACUGCUUUGAAAAAGAAAUGGAGAAAAUGCUUGCAAGUAAAUAGGCAGGCAGGCAGCAAAAGAAAUUCUCAAAGGUAUUUCCAAACUUGCAUUCACAACGUGAAAAUUGGUGUGAGCUCCAGAUUCCUGGAAUAUUCCCAAGACAUAAGUUUUUGAGUAUUAUCCCCUUAUAUUAGUUACUGUAUUUUUAAAGAGUUAUUUUACACAUUUCUUUUUUGUUGUUGUUGAUUUUCAAUAAACAAAAAACUCUUAAUUUUUUUGGGGGGGUUAUGAAUUUCUGCAUCAGGAAGGUGAUUUGUUUUGCCCAUUGAAGCUGAUGUAUUGAAAUGAGCUUUUGCAACUUGAUCACUUUUCUCGUGCACCCUUAGAAGAAGCCUUAACAAUAUCUCUAAGCACUUUUUCCAGGGUCUGCAGAAAGUGGGACGUCUCCUUUAAAGUCCUGGAAAACCACGAUUGAACUGUUUGGGAAUUCUGUUGUCGCGUAUUUAUCUGUGCCUCUGUUAUAGGCGUUUCAGCGCCUCUUCUUGAAAAGGUCCGAUUCUCCUCUGGACUACUGGCCUCUAUUUAAUUCAUUCCUCUCUCAGACAGAGACGUACAUCAAACAGGAGAGAAAUAUGACUGGAAUAAAUACCUAUUUUCUCUCCCUUUUCAGAUUAAAUAUCUCCAGCCACAGAUAGAAACCUCCUUAAACUGAAAUUAAUUUCUGUAUUUAAGAAAAUACAUCAGGUGGUAUGUUUUACUUUCAUUGCAUUUCUGGUGCAAUUGGCAAACCCUCAAAUUCUUACUAUAAAUGCAUUUUUAAUCUACAACCCAGCCUGAGGUUUCUCUUAUUCUCCCGAUUAUCAUUUCCCUCUGUGUUUGGGACCUUGUUUGUUAUCUCUCUUGCUCAAUGCUUAUUCAAAAAUGCCUUCAAUCUUAAAAAACUGGUAAGACAAUAUAUAAAAGGCUGACAGGAAAACACACACAUAGAGCUAUACACAAUCUAUAAUUUUCUAAUAUUAGAAGAUUUUUUCCUCAUAGUCUCAUCCAAAAGAAAACGAAUUAUUUACAUUCACAGCUUAAAAAAUAAUUAUACAUACUUGUUCUCUACGCUCAAAUGCUGCUGGGGACUGGGUGUAUUUUAUAGAGGUACACUGCCCUCUGCAGGGAAAAACAGCUUUUUGACAACUCUUUGGGGCAACCUCAAAAAAACAGUAUCGCUCUGGGGCUGAAAAUAUAAACAAAUAGUUUCUUAAAUGGGUUUGCUUAUAAGCAAUUAAACUGUAUUUAUGCACCUUAAAAUAUACUUGCUCACACUCUUAUUUUUCUUACGUGUUGGCUUAUCCCAUUAUACUUCUAGAAACACAAUAGGAAAAGGGCAACGUUCUUUAUCACAAGCUGAGCGACAAUACUGAAUGGAACACAGAAUUGCUCCAGCUUCAUUUCUUCUCCAAAUUACAGUAGACUCGAAAAAAUUUAAUAGUCAUUCAAGUGCCUUGGGAACGGUGUGCAAUAGGGCCCUGAAUUUUUCAAGGAACCUCUCUAGAUUUCUGCUCUGGGUUUGGGCUGUGGGUGGUAGAAUUUCAGGAUUCUUAAAUCCCCAGGAAAUUGCUUUGUGGUUCUUGUAUUUUCACUUCAAUACUUGGGAAAAUGAAAUGAGCU